rnacentral:rRNA from 1 species
UACGUAGGGGGCUAGCGUUGUCCGGAUUUACUGGGCGUAAAGGGCGCGUAGGCGGCCAGCACAAGUCAGUUGUGAAAUCUCCGGGCUUAACCCGGAAAGGUCAACUGAUACUGUGCGGCUAGAGUGCAGAAGGGGCAACUGGAAUUCUCGGUGUAGCGGUGAAAUGCGUAGAUAUCGAGAGGAACACCUGCGGCGAAGGCGGGUUGCUGGGCUGACACUGACGCUGAUGCGCGAAAGCCAGGGGAGCGAACGGG